rnacentral:misc_RNA from 1 species
GAAAUGCGAUAAGUAAUGUGAAUUGCAGAAUUCAGUGAAUCAUCGAAUCUUUGAACGCACAUUGCGCCCGCCAGUAUUCUGGCGGGCAUGCCUGCUCGAGCGUCAUUACAACCCUCAGGCCCCCGGGCCUGGCGUUGGGGAUCGGCGGAAGCCCCCUGCGGGCACAACGCCGUCCCCCAAAUACAGUGGCGGUCCCGCCGCAGCUUCCAUUGCGUAGUAGCUAACACCUCGCAACUGGAGAGCGGCGCGGCCACGCCGUAAAACACCCAACUUCUGAAUGUUGACCUCGAAUCAGGUAGGAAUACCCGCUGAACUUAAGC